rnacentral:lncRNA from 1 species
CUAAGAAUGCUACCUUGUUUAGCAGUAUUUCUGCUUUGUUUUGAAAACAGAGAAACGUGAAAUCUCCAAUCUGAGGGAAAGAUUCAUGAUGAUGAUCUGGGAGCUGCUAAAUCACCCACCUGCUUCCCCAGCUGACCAACAAAGAGGUAGAAUAUCAUACAGGAGUGAGUUGAUGCAAGAUGGAGAGAGGAGAAAGAAAAGGAGCCUACCAAGAAAUAGCAGCACAAAGGACAGUGAACAAGAUCAUGUUGUCCAGAUGCCAAUUUCAGGAAAAACAGCUGUCCAGAUUUUAGGGAGAAAACUACUUCCUCAAGGCACCUGGAGUGAGGCUAGUCCGAUUUCAAACCCACUUCACAUCCCAAGCAUUGCGUGGAAGUAACCUCCACAGCGUGAAUUCCACAAGAUAUUCACCAUGUUGAAUAUAUUUGAGGGAGAGAAAGUGGCAAAUCAGUAAUCGGUAAGCAGAUAUCUAUUGUUUCACUGGUACUGGUCCUCAUAGAGUAAUAACCACAUAAAUUAUCCAAUUGUUCUCUCUUGAAAUUAAUGAGACAUUUUUAUAUAGUUAGGAUUUUCAACUCUUUGCUGUUGUUGUUGUUGUUUUGCCUACAUAGCUCUAUUUUAAUACCUUAUUCAAAAUAAUCUACGUCCACAUUUACCAAAUUU